CGUAGGGGGCAAGCGUUGUCCGGAAUCAUUUGGGCGUAAAGCGCGUGUAGGCGGCCAGAUAAGUCCGCUGUGAAAACUCGAGGCUCAACUUCGAGCUGUCGGUGGAAACUAUCUGGCUAGAGUCCGGAAGAGGAGAGUGGAAUUCCUGGUGUAGCGGUGAAAUGCGCAGAUAUCAGGAAGAACACCCGUGGCGAAGGCGGCUCUCUGGGACGGUACUGACGCAGAGACGCGAAAGCGUGGGGAGCGAACAGGAUUAGAUACCCUGGUAGUCCACGCCGUAAACGAUGGGAACUAGGUGUGGGCGGUGUCGACUCCGUCCGUGCCGAAGCUAACGCAUUAAGUUCCCCGCCUGGGGAGUACGGCCGCAAGGCUA
rnacentral:rRNA from 1 species